UCAAAUGAUGAAUUAAUUUGCGAUUGACCUCACUUUGAUGGCACCCUCGCCAGGGUCGCUAUAUCAUGCGAGUGGAUGAAAUUUAUUCUUACAUAUUCUGAUC
rfam:Sclerotinia borealis F-4128 unplaced genomic scaffold scaffold00035, whole genome shotgun sequence.